rnacentral:rRNA from 1 species
CAGCCGCGGUGAUACGGAGGGUGCAAGCGUUAAUCGGAAUUACUGGGCGUAAAGCGCACGCAGGCGGUUUGUUAAGUCAGAUGUGAAAUCCCCGCGCUUAACGUGGGAACUGCAUUUGAAACUGGCAAGCUAGAGUCUUGUAGAGGGGGGUAGAAUUCCAGGUGUAGCGGUGAAAUGCGUAGAGAUCUGGAGGAAUACCGGUGGCGAAGGCGGCCCCCUGGACAAAGACUGACGCUCAGGUGCGAAAGCGUGGGGAGCAAACAGGAUUAGAUACCCUGGUAGUCCACGCUGUAAACGAUGUCGACUUGGAGGUUGUGCCCUUGAGGCGUGGCUUCCGGAGCUAACGCGUUAAGUCGACCGCCUGGGGUGUACGGCCGCAAGGUUAAAACUCAAAUGAAUUGACGGGGGCCCGCACAAGCGGUGGAGCAUGUGGUUUAAUUCGAUGCAACGCGAAGAACCUUACCUACUCUUGACAUCCACGGAAUUCGCCAGAGAUGGCUUAGUGCCUUCGGGAACCGUGAGACAGGUGCUGCAUGGCUGUCGUCAGCUCGUGUUGUGAAAUGUUGGGUUAAGUCCCGCAACGAGCGCAACCCUUAUCCUUUGUUGCCAGCACGUAAUGGUGGGAACUCAAAGGAGACUGCCGGUGAUAAACCGGAGGAAGGUGGGGAUGACGUCAAGUCAUUAUGGCCCUUACGAGUAGGGCUACACACGUGCUACAAUGGCAUAUACAAAGAGAAGCGAACUCGCGAGAGCAAGCGGACCUCAUAAAGUAUGUCGUAGUCCGGAUUGGAGUCUGCAACUCGACUCCAUGAAGUCGGAAUCGCUAGUAAUCGUAGAUCAGAAUGCUACGGUGAAUACGUUCCCGGGCCUUGUACACACCGCCCGUCACACCAUGGAGUGGGUUGCAAAAGAAGUAGGUAGCUUAACCUUCGGGAGGGCGCUUACCACUUUGUGAU